rnacentral:rRNA from 1 species
GACGAACGCUGGCGGCGUGCUUAACACAUGCAAGUCGAGCGGUAAGGCCUUUCGGGGUACACGAGCGGCGAACGGGUGAGUAACACGUGGGUGACCUGCCUUUAGCUUCGGGAUAAGCCUGGGAAACCGGGUCUAAUACCGGAUAUGACCUCAUGUCGCAUGGUGUGGGGUGGAAAGUUCUUCGGCUAGAGAUGGGCCCGCGGCCUAUCAGCUUGUUGGUGGGGUGAUGGCCUACCAAGGCGACGACGGGUAGCCGGCCUGAGAGGGCGACCGGCCACACUGGGACUGAGACACGGCCCAGACUCCUACGGGAGGCAGCAGUGGGGAAUCUUGCGCAAUGGGCGAAAGCCUGACGCAGCGACGCCGCGUGAGGGAUGACGGCCU